CAUUCUCUUCCCACUAUUGGUUCUAAAAUGGUGCCUUCCCCACCCUCCUCAUUCCCUCAAUUUUCCCCUACUUUAACUCAGAUUCCCGGGGGACUGUCUGGAAGUGGAAGAGGUCAUCCCCUCGGCUGUGUAGGUGUUUGAGAGUUUGACAGUCAUUCCGUCAAGCGAAGAGGCCCCUAAAUCAGUUUAAUAGGACGGUGAGCGCAGGGAGGUGAUGCGAUGACAGCCCCACAGAGUCACCGGCCUCCUUUUCUCCUCCAGAGCCACCUGGGUCCCGCAGCCAGAUACAGAUCAGGACGACUGGAGACGGCCCUGAUGCAGUGGGAGACCCGGGCCUUUUUGAGCUAAGGUCUUUAACGGGGUCUCACUUUGAGGCAACGCCCAUUCCGUGAUCCAGACUAGUAAAAUAUAGGAGCUGGAGACUUUGCCAUCUGCCCCACCUGUACUCCCUCCAGGCCUUGGGAGUUACCAUCUGAUACGCUGAUGUAUCCUUAGAACUUCUGGAUCUUUCCGUCUC